rnacentral:rRNA from 1 species
AUUGAACGCUGGCGGCAGGCCUAACACAUGCAAGUCGAACGGUAACAGGAAGAAGCUUGCUUCUUUGCUGACGAGUGGCGGACGGGUGAGUAAUGUCUGGGAAACUGCCUGAUGGAGGGGGAUAACUACUGGAAACGGUAGCUAAUACCGCAUAACGUCGCAAGACCAAAGAGGGGGACCUUCGGGCCUCUUGCCAUCGGAUGUGCCCAGAUGGGAUUAGCUAGUAGGUGGGGUAACGGCUCACCUAGGCGACGAUCCCUAGCUGGUCUGAGAGGAUGACCAGCCACACUGGAACUGAGACACGGUCCAGGCUCCUACGGGAGGCAGCAGUGGGGAAUAUUGCACAAUGGGCGCAAGCCUGAUGCAGCCAUGCCGCGUGUAUGAAGAAGGCCUUCGGGUUGUAAAGUACUUUCAGCGGGGAGGAAGGGAGUAAAGUUAAUACCUUUACUCAUUGACGUUACCCGCAGAAGAAGCACCGGCUAACUCCGU